CUGGCAACCCUCUGAGUAGUUCCUGGUCUUUUCUUGGCUCAGCUCAGAUGUUUCCCUACCAGCCACAUACUAUGGUGCCUAUUAAAAGGUGAUCUUAAAAUUUCGUGCUUCCAAGAUGCUUUUUAACCUCUUUAUGGAAUGACCCGAGCAGGAUUCACUGGAGAGAAAAGCCUUUUAUUACUUGUGUCCAUUGUGUGCACAAGAGGCUCAGCUGAAUCCCAGCUUAUGUCACUUUCCUUAAUUUCAGAAAGGGCACUGCUGAUAUCACACAAUCAGAAGACCAACUGUUGCAAUUAUUCAUCCUAAAUCAGGAGAAGUAAACAGAGCAGCCUGCAGCUUGCUCAUUUCAAAAGUAUGGCUGAAGAACACCGCCUCCAGCUACUGACUUUGGAGCCACAGCUGGUUUACACAUGGAUGACCAAGAUCCAGAUCAGAUGCUUGGUCUCCUGAUUCACCACUGCAUUACAGAUUCUGGUCCUUCUGCUCUCACUGGCAUGAGUCAGAAGAAUCCCACUAAAUUUACACACUGGAACUGCUUCAUGCCAGGACACAACCGUAUCACCUCAGCCUACACUUGUUUCUUAAGAUGCUGCUUCAUCGGCCUAGGAAAUAAAUCGGCAUUCUGCUGACAGAAGCAGGGCUUCUUUCCUGCCACCAUGAGGAAAUCUGUUCUCCAGUGCAGAUGAGCAGUCCUGCCUCUCUGCUGAUGCACUGCCAUGCUCCCUUCCUGAGCCCUCAGUUAACAACCUCUGGGAUGGCUCAGGGAAUUUGCUUUCUUGUGCUGGAGGUAGAGUGAAAACUUUAGCUUAAGGCAAUUCUGCCUGGUAUGGAUUAAGGCAAUUCUGUCUAGUAUGGGUUCUCAAGUCCGUCCCACAUGGAUACAUGUUGCUUCCUCUUCAUGCUCCCAGGGUUCCAGGCCCCCUUAUUACCGCAGUGAGAGUGAUUCUCUAUCCUAUUUUUAUGCAAAUCUAAUGCUGACUGCAUUAUCCUCCUGUCUGCAUAUCUGAAUGGAGCUAUUCUAUCUUUGACUUGUCCACUGUUUCUUCACUGUCUGCAAUCAGCUGCCAGUCUGUUCCCAUUGAAUGCUGUUUGAAGAAUGAACUUUGUCUUUGAAGAAACCAGUGCCUUCAGAGCACAAUGAAAAUAGCACUGAUAAAUUCGUAGACAGACACAGCUGCAGAUUUUAGUACUAGUUGGUAGUCUGUAAAAGAAAGGAUGUGUAAUUUGAUUAAAGAGCUCUGAAGAGAUUAAGAAAUUAAGUAAUUAAUUGAAGAUUUACAAACAUUUUUUGAGUUAAUCUUCCUACAGUUGUGUGAUCUCAUUCCUGCUACUGGACUUGAUCACAUUUUGAGCAUCAGAGAGGCAAAUUGGAAUGUGAUAUGUAGCAGUGCUAACAGUCACAGGUGUCAUCUGGUUAUCUGGUCAUUGAUACUUUCACAUUCCUACGUUUUUAAGACUGCUCUCAGAAGACAAAGUAUUUUUCACUGAAUCAUAAGAAAAACCUAAGGGCAUAUUUCUAAAGCAGAGAGUUAAGUGAUAGACACAGUACAGAACAUUUCUGCUGCUAGGCUCAAGUCAUGGCCAUGAAAAGCACCAAACAUCAACCAUCCAGGUGCUUCACACUGCUGCUGAGACAGCUUGCUGAGUUACAAAGUCAAAGCACCAGUUUUCCAGUAUUUGAAGACACCAAGCUCAGCACUUACUGCUCUGCAUGGAUUCAUUUAUCUAAGAGAAGAGUCUUUAUCCACAGUCUUGGCAAAACUGAGCAAAACUUUGUGUUUAAUGUCAGAGAUGAAGUAGGUCUUAGCUUUCCAAUGGAGGAAGCUCUUCUACAGCUGGUAAUCAGUGUGGUACUUUAAGUUGUACCACACAGAAGAACGGUAAGGCACAAAGAUGGUCUGUGGUAGAAACUAGGCAAUUUCAGCACUGCUUCAGUAAAUCAAAACACAGAUCUUCAGUGUAAAAAACAAACAAACCCCAAACACAUAAAUGCUGAACAACAUUUCAGUUUUGCUGUCCUCACCUAUCAAUGUGUGUAUUUUUACACCUGAAUAAUUCACUGACUUGCCACUGGCAAGCUAUUUCUCUCAAGUGAUAUACAGCUUUUGCCUCACAUCUCCAAGAGAUUACCAGCCUUGCGGAACUGUGAUUUCUGAUUGAUAUGUGAAAAAAUAAGCAGUGAGAAGACUUCAGGACCUGUUAAUCCCAGCUCUAGGAAGAUAUGCCAGUCUUUCCAGCCUUGCUGUCAAGCCUUGCCGUUGUCUCGUUGCUUGUUUGAAGUAGCAUUUUUGGAGUCGCUGCCGAGCCCAGCCCAGGCAGCUGUGGUUGGACUUCUCUGCAAUCAAUUUGAGCAGCGGGUGCCAGGAGCUCAACGCAAGGAGCACACUGCCAUCGUGCGGGAGAGGGACUUCUCAGGAGUAGCAGCUGAGAUCAACCCCAAAGGUACACGGUCCUUCAUGCCAGGUGAUGGCCUAACCCAUCUCCAGACCACUCAGACAGAAAACGUGCAUGUCUGUGGCGUGAGCUGGAUUUCACAUUUUUCCUAAGGCAGACAACCUUUAAGUAGACUGACUUCUUUCCACUGCAAUUUGGCGCCUUCAACAUGACUCUAAAG